ACCCCGCCGGGAUCCCUGUCUUUUCCCGGGGCUGGAAGCCCACGGUGCUUGCUCACCCGUGGAAGAUUGCCGCGACAUUUGGAAGCACACAUGACGGGGAUCCACGGCCCCAAUCCCUUCGUUUUCCACGGGGGAGAAAACCGCGACUCACCAAGCCGGGCGCGCUUCCCCUCCCUCGCUCGCCCCUCCACCUCCGCACCCUGCCCCGUCGGCCAUUGCCCCUCCACCUCUGCGUGCGGCCGCGCCCCUCUACCUCCGCAUCCAGGCGCGGCCGCCCCUCCUCCUCCUCCUCCUCUACUUCCUCGUCGCUCUGUCCGCCACCGCACUGCUCCGCCUCCCCAUCGGCUGCAACACCACUACCUCCUUGGAGAUCCCGAUCUGCAGCCCCGCCUCCAGCACGGCAGUUUCUGCCUCGUCUUCCUUGGCGUGUAACAACUGCAGCCCCAUUCCCAUUCCAGCGGUGAAGAAACUGCCUUCUGGCCCCAUCUCCCUCCGCUCACCAGCUGCCGUUCACACUCAUCCAAGGUUGUUUAGCACUUCCUGCUUUGCCACACACUAUCUCUCUGGCCUUCAGUUACCUGUGGGCUGUUUUAGAUCUAUCUAUAUAUUGACAUUUUUCUAAAAAAAUUUGCAACAUCUGUUUUAGGUUCAUGUUUGGCUUGAAGUUUGAACUGCAUGGAUAAAAUUUACCUCAAGUUGCAAUAGAUUUUAUCUUGAAUUCGCGUUGGGGCUCAAGUGGAAAAUCAGUUGUCUCCUUGUUUUUUUUCUCUGCUUCUUUUAGUAGCUACAGCCUGAAUAAUGAGUCGUGGAUGCAACUAUUUCAGAGUUAUCGCAGCUGUGCUAAAUCACAUCUACUUACCUAUCAGAAUGGUCUGCUCAGAAUUUGAAAAUAUGGGAAUCAUGGUAACUUAGUACUUAGCUAUGCACAAACAGAAGCUGAACUGUAAUUUACGCAUAGGAAUCAUGGUGGCAUCUCGUACCCAGUAGCCUUUUUUGAUGUCUGCUCUAUUAGCCUUAUUUUAGUUUGCUACUUUUUGAGUUAAAUUUGUACUAUUUGGUUGUGAUUUUUUUAGCCAAGCCCAAGGCAAGAUAGGUAUGUCAUGAGCUUUCUUAUAAAAGUUGUUCUGUCAAUAUAGUUAUAUCUUAACAUUGUCUGAUUGUUCAAGUUCAGAUUGGGAGUAGUCUAGAUUGGCGAUUAUGAAGCUUAACUUUGGAGGGCAAAUUUCUUUGUGUUACAUGCAGAGCACUUGGUGGAAGCAACUUGAAAAGCCCAGCUCGCUUGUUCUAUGGUACUUUCUUUAUGCUGGGAAUGUAAAAAGGAAAGUGAAGCGGCAAGGCAAUGUGAAUCUUGUGAAAAGAGCCAAAGUCACAAUUUGUUCUAGUGUCAAAGUUCAUAGUGAUCCAUUUUAUUUUAUUUUUAUUAUCUGUUGAAUGCGAGAAUGGAGAUGGCAUGUGAUGUU